rnacentral:tRNA from 1 species
GCCUGGGUGGCUCAGUCAGUUGAGCGUCCGACUUCAGCUCGGGUCAUGAUCUCACAGUUUGUGAGUUCAAGCCCCGCAUUGGGCU